UGAGCAAUCUGCCCUUCUCAUCGGAAUAAGCGUUGGAAACGACGUCUAAUGCCGAAUACGACCUCCUUUCGCAUGAUCGGAGGUGGAAAGCUCCGGCGGAGAAGGAUGAGCUCGCGGCCUAUCAGCUAGUUGGUGUGGGUAAUGGCCCACCAAGGCGACGACGGGUAGCUGGUCUGAGAGGAUGGCCAGUCACAUUGGGACUGAGACACGGCCCAGAUCCCGUACGGGGGG
rnacentral:rRNA from 1 species